CCUAUAAGACUGGGAUAACUUCGGGAAACCGGAGCUAAUGCCGGAUAACAUUUGGAACCGCAUGGUUCUAAAGUAAAAGAUGGUUUUGCUAUCACUUAUAGAUGGACCCGCGCCGUAUUAGCUAGUUGGUAAGGUAACGGCUUACCAAGGCAACGAUACGUAGCCGACCUGAGAGGGUGAUCGGCCACACUGGAACUGAGACACGGUCCAGACUCCUACGGGAGGCAGCAGUAGGGAAUCUUCCGCAAUGGACGAAAGUCUGACGGAGCAACGCCGCGUGAGUGAUGAAGGUUUUCGGAUCGUAAAACUCUGUUAUUAGGGAAGAACAAAUGUGUAAGUAACUGUGCACAUCUUGACGGUACCUAAUCAGAAAGCCACGGCUAACUACGUGCCAGCAGCCGCGGUAAUACGUAGGUGGCAAGCGUUAUCCGGAAUUAUUGGGCGUAAAGCGCGCGUAGGCGGUUUCUUAAGUCUGAUGUGAAAGCCCACGGCUCAACCGUGGAGGGUCAUUGGAAACUGGGAAACUUGAGUACAGAAGAGGAAAGUGGAAUUCCAUGUGUAGCGGUGAAAUGCGCAGAGAUAUGGAGGAACACCAGUGGCGAAGGCGACUUUCUGGUCUGUAACUGACGCUGAUGUGCGAAAGCGUGGGGAUCAAACAGGAUUAGAUACCCUGGUAGUCCACGCCGUAAACGAUGAGUGCUAAGUGUUAGGGGGUUUCCGCCCCUUAGUGCUGCAGCUAACGCAUUAAGCACUCCGCCUGGGGAGUACGACCGCAAGGUUGAAACUCAAA
rnacentral:rRNA from 1 species